GACAGAGGUCCCGAGCGUUAGGCGGAAUCACUGGGCUUAAAGCGUGUGUAUGCGGUUGUCUAAGUCCCUUGUGAAAUCCCACGGCUUAACCGUGGAAUUGCUUGGUAUACUGGAUGUCUUGAGCCAGCUAGGGGCAACCGGAACAAAUGGUGGAGCGGUGAAAUGCGUAGAUAUCAUUUGGAACGCCAAUGGUGAAAACAGGUUGCUGGGGCUGUGCUGACGCUGAGACACGAAAGCCAGGGGAGCAAACGGG
rnacentral:rRNA from 1 species